AUUCAAAGGAGCGGGACAGGCAGGACAGAACAGGAUCACGGACAUCUACUAACAUCAAUGACAGACAAAGGACUCAGGUGGGAAACCUGCAGCAUCUGACAGACAGCUCCAUCGCCCGAUUGUGGAAACUGAAUCGCCUCCCUGCAAACAGCCACCGCUCAGCAGAUAGGAGCUGUGACAGUGUGCAAGAGCUUCUCAUCUGAACAGCCCGUAAUGCCGUGCUGAUCUGUGCUCACCAGGACAAGUGACCAUGAACUACAGAGUAUAAUGGCAGAUUUUAAAAAAGGACAACCGGACCAGAGUCACUCUAUAUCUGUAAGAUAACAGCUCGUCACACAACCAAACGUCAACAUCUGAGAAGCUAGAACAUAGUGAUUCUGGGUCUAGCAAACUGCUCCCUUGGGUCAAGAAUCAUCAUAGAGGAAACAUCUC